CCUACGGGAGACAGCAGUGGGGAAUAUUGGGCAAUGGGCGCAAGCCUGACCCAGCAACGCCGCGUGAAGGAAGAAGGCUUUCGGGUUGUAAACUUCUUUUCUCAGGGACGAAGAAAGUGACGGUACCUGAGGAAUAAGCCACGGCUAACUACGUGCCAGCAGCCGCGGUACUACGUAGGUGGCAAUCGUUAUCCGGAUUUACUGGGUGUAAAGGGCGUGUAGGCGGGGAAGCAAGUCAGAUGUGAAAACCACGGGCUCAACUUGGGGCCUUCAUUUGAAACUGUUUUUCUUGAGUACUGGAGAGGCAGACGGAAUUCCUAGUGUAGAGGUGAAAUGCGUAGAGAUUAGGAGGAACACCAGUGGCGAAGGCGGUCGGCUGGACAGCAACUGACGCUGAGGCGCGAAGGCGUGGGGAGCAAACAGGAUUAGAUACCCCGGUAGUC
rnacentral:rRNA from 1 species